rnacentral:lncRNA from 1 species
GAGUUUUGCAAAAAAGUAAGCUUUCUUCCUUUCGUGGUUUUUCUUCAUGAGAUAUUACAGUGCCACCCCUACAUACCAUAAGAGAAUCCAUGAAAUGGGAAGAGAGAAUCUUUAAAUCCUACUUGCUCUUAAGAGCGGACGGCCUGGUGAUGCACAAUCCGAGUACUAGGUUACUAGGACAUCUAUUCUAACAUAUCAUAUAUGUAACAUGUAGAAAUUUAGAUCUAAUCUAAAUUAUUUCAGA